GCAUGUGGGUUUAAUGAAAUAUCACUGAGAGCUUUGCUUUGCUGUGAAAUCAGUUGUCACACAAUGGUGCUUCUGAGUCACAGAAAGAAUACUGUUAUCUUCAUUCUUUAUUUUUAAACAUAGGUAGACUUGACCACGUUUAAGGUGAUGAAGAAAAGACAACAUGCUCUCCCCUUUGAGAACUUAAGACUCUAAAAGACAACAUGAUUGGUAGCCCAAAUUGUAACUUGGAUUUUUUUUUUCAAAAAAAAAAUGUUUUUUUGAGAAAGAAAGAGAUGUUUUGUUGACAUUUGUGACAGCAACGCGUGGUGUGAAGGGUCGUCGGUGCGCAGCCACCCGAGCGGCAAGCGGGUUGCUUAGAGCGUGACGCCCAGUAUUGACACGGGUGCAGAACAGGAUGACCACGAACCUCAAAGAGAAGACUGAAAAUCACUGUACAAAAAGAGAAAGCAGCUGACUAAGGAAAAUGCAGCUGAUUGGAGAAGGAAGGAAACGUUGGUAACAAAGAACAUUCUUGAGAGUGAUAGUCCGCAUUUGCAACAUUAAAACAGACACUGUAUAUAGCAUCUCAUUUCUCCCCGCUCCCACCCAGCCGGGAAACAUGCCUGAAGGUAACAAGGGAUUUGUCCUAGAAGCUCGCCACUGAAGUGCCUGGGGGUUUGAAGCCAGGCGACACUGGAGACCCGUCUCCAGGGAGGCAAAGACUGCCUUCACUAUUGGAGCCAGACCGUUGACUGUGGUGCGAAAGCCCUGGUCUCUGCACACGGGAAAGGGUUUCCAAGCAUGGUCUUGUAGGAUGUUCAUACCUGCUGUUAUGGACUGAAUGUUUGUGUCUCCCCAAAACUCACAGGCUAAAUCUCUCACCCCCAGUGUGAUAGGAGUUGCAGGUGGGGCCUUUGAGAGGUAAUUAGGUUCAGAUGAGGUCUCGAGGGCUGGGCCCCAUGAUGAGAUUAGUGCCCUUUUAAGAAGAGAAAGAGAGACUUGAGCCUUUUCUUGGUCCGCCAUGUGAGGACAGCGUGAGAAGACAGCCAUCUGCAAGCCAGAAGAGGGUCCUCAUGGAGAAACUUAAUCAACUGGCACCUGGAUCUUGAAGUUCCCAGACUCUAGAUCUAAACUAAAUAAACCAAAUAAACAAAUUCCUGUUGUUUAAGCCACCGGGUCAAUGGUAUUCAGUUACUGUAGCCUGAGCUGACUAGGACAACUGCAUACUUUAAUGCUACUCUGACAUCGAAAUUUUGACUUAUUCCUCUUAGCCCUGUCCUCAGCGUUACUGUUUGCUUUGAUUUGGGCCCGU